rnacentral:rRNA from 1 species
CAGUAGCCGCGGGAAUACGUAGGUGGCAAGCGUUGUCCGGAAUUACUGGGCGUAAAGGGCUCGCAGGCGGUUUCUUAAGUCUGAUGUGAAAGCCCCCGGCUCAACCGGGGAGGGUCAUUGGAAACUGGGAAACUUGAGUGCAGAAGAGGAGAGUGGAAUUCCACGUGUAGCGGUGAAAUGCGUAGAGAUGUGGAGGAACACCAGUGGCGAAGGCGACUCUCUGGUCUGUAACUGACGCUGAGGAGCGAAAGCGUGGGGAGCGAACAGGAUUAGAUACCCCGGUAGUCCCUGUCUCUUAUAC